GACGAACCGUGCGAACGUUGUUCGGAAUCACUGGGCUUAAAGGGCGCGUAGGCGGGUUCGCAAGUCUGUGGUGAAAGCCUCCAGCUUAACUGGAGAAGUGCCGUGGAUACUGCGAGCCUCGAGGAGGGUAGGGGCAUCUGGAACAGUAGGUGGAGCGGUGAAAUGCGUUGAUAUCUACUGGAACUCCGGUGGCGAAGGCGAGGUGCUGGACCCUUUCUGACGCUGAGGCGCGAAAGCCAGGGGAGCGAACGGGAUUAGAAACCCCCGUAGUCC
rnacentral:rRNA from 1 species